rnacentral:misc_RNA from 1 species
GAUGAAGAACGCAGCGAAAUGCGAUAAGUAAUGUGAAUUGCAGAAUUCAGUGAAUCAUCGAAUCUUUGAACGCACAUUGCGCCCGUCAGUAUUCUGGCGGGCAUGCCUGUUCGAGCGUCAUUACGCCCCUCAAGUCCCCUGUGGACUUGGUGUUGGGGAUCGGCGAGGCUGGUUUUCCAGCACAGCCGUCCCUUAAAUUAAUUGGCGGUCUCGCCGUGGCCCUCCUCUGCGCAGUAGUAAAACACUCGCAACAGGAGCCCUGCGCGGUCCACUGCCGUAAAACCCCCCAACUUUUUAUAGUUGACCUCGAAUCAGGUAGGACUACCCGCUGAACUUAAGCAUAUCAAUAAGCGGAGGA